rnacentral:rRNA from 1 species
AAAGAUUAAGCCAUGCAUGUCUAAGUUUAAUUGGAUUAACUAUAGAAACUGCGAAUGGCUCAUUAUAUCGGCUAUAACUUACUUGAUAAUCCCUUACUACGUGGAUACCUGUAGUAAUUCUAGAGCUAAUACAUGCUUAAACUCUCAACCACUUGCUGGACGAGAGGCAUUUAUUAGAUUGAAAACCAACCCUCCUUGGAGGUGAAUUUGGUGACUCAUAAUAACUUUGCGGAUCGCAUGGUUUCAUGCCAGCGACACAUCAUUCAGGUUUCCGCCCUAUCAGCUUCUGAUGGUAGGAUAUUGGCCUACCAUGGCUUUAACGGGUGACGGACGGUUAGGGCUGGACCCCGGAGAGGGAGCCUGAGAAACGGCUACCACAUCCAAGGAAGGCAGCAGGCGCGUAAAUUACCCAAUUCCGACAUGGAGAGGUAGUGACAAUAAAUAACAAUGCCGAGCCUUCAAGGUUUGGCAAUUGGAAUGAGAACAAUGUAAACCACUUAUCGAGGAUCAAUUGGAGG